UACGUAGGGUGCAAGCGUUAAUCGGAAUUACUGGGCGUAAAGCGUGCGUAGGCGGCUAUGUAAGACAGAUGUGAAAUCCCUGGGCUUAACCUAGGAACUGCAUUUGUGACUGCAUUGCUAGAGUGUGGUAGAGGGAGAUGGAAUUCCGCAUGUAGCAGUGAAAUGCGUAGAUAUGCGGAGGAACACCGAUGGCGAAGGCAAUCCCCCUGGACCUGUACUGACGCUCAUGCGACGAAAGCGUGGGGAGCAAACAGG
rnacentral:rRNA from 1 species